ACCUCGAGACUAAAUUGCUGCCCCUGGUUAAGGGGGGUGUGUGUGGAUGCCACCUCACUGCCUUUGAGCAGGCUGGCGAUUUGAACCAAGGGGACCCUGCGGAAAAGCCCCGGUGUCUAGCUCCCUUGCUGGGUCCCAAGGCCACAGACUCCAUCAGCCAGAUGGUUGGGGAUGUGGACAGGCUCCCACUCCUGACCCCAACCUAUAUGUCUGUGUGGAGUUUCCUGGGGCCAGGCCCCCCGGACCUCCAGUGGGAGCAGAAGGUGAUGGUCAAUGGGGAGACAUUCUUGGGGUGGCCAAAGGGCAUGGGCUGCAUAAACCUUCCCACAUGCGGCCUGCGAGUGCUAUCGACCACCCCUGACCUAAGGGAGGGCGUGAAACUGGAAGGGCCUGGUGUAACUCCUACCAAGGAAUGGGAGAGAUGCUGGGGCAUCCAUGGGAACGUUGGUGGCUUCGAACUUCCCCAGGUCACCGGCUAAAGUGACCCCGCUCAGUUCGAUCUCGAAGGGGGGAGAGAUGUGACGAAGUGGGACUGUUCUUAAUGUUUCCUCUGAAUAGUGUGGGGGUGCCUCAGUUUCCCCUAGGCAGUUCUUAAGUAUCUAGGGGGUGGAGUAAGGGUGUAUGAUCAUUGCAGAGCCCUAGAGGGCAUGUGUGUGCAGGAGUCUGGACACAGAGAAUGGCCGACACCCUGUUUCCUGGCAACUGAUGGCCUGGGCCCUUCCCCCCCUGCAAGGUGAGAGCUGAAGGGUUGGAGAACAAAGGAAUCCGGUGACCACCUGGCCCGGGAAAGGGACAAAGCCCAGAGGAGGAGGGGCUGGAGGGGGUUUUCAGUUUGGGGCUGGCUGGGACAUGGAGUGAAGUGCAGACGUGGUUGUCUGGCUCACUGCCCCCCAAAAUGGACCCAGCUGAGGGGUCCCGUUCUCUGCACCUGCAAGCUCUGUGUUAGACCAUCUUCCUGUCGUCUAAUAAACCUUCUGUUUUA